rnacentral:rRNA from 1 species
AAAUUGAAGAGUUUGAUCAUGGCUCAGAUUGAACGCUGGCGGCAGGCCUAACACAUGCAAGUCGAACGGUAGCACAGAGAGCUUGCUCUCGGGUGACGAGUGGCGGACGGGUGAGUAAUGUCUGGGAAACUGCCUGAUGGAGGGGGAUAACUACUGGAAACGGUAGCUAAUACCGCAUAACGUCGCAAGACCAAAGAGGGGGACCUUCGGGCCUCUUGCCAUCAGAUGUGCCCAGAUGGGAUUAGCUAGUAGGUGGGGUAACGGCUCACCUAGGCGACGAUCCCUAGCUGGUCUGAGAGGAUGACCAGCCACACUGGAACUGAGACACGGUCCAGACUCCUACGGGAGGCAGCAGUGGGGAAUAUUGCACAAUGGGCGCAAGCCUGAUGCAGCCAUGCCGCGUGUAUGAAGAAGGCCUUCGGGUUGUAAAGUACUUUCAGCGGGGAGGAAGGUGUUGUGGUUAAUAACCGCAGCAAUUGACGUUACCCGCAGAAGAAGCACCGGCUAACUCCGUGCCAGCAGCCGCGGUAAUACGGAGGGUGCAAGCGUUAAUCGGAAUUACUGGGCGUAAAGCGCACGCAGGCGGUCUGUCAAGUCGGAUGUGAAAUCCCCGGGCUCAACCUGGGAACUGCAUUCGAAACUGGCAGGCUAGAGUCUUGUAGAGGGGGUAGAAUUCCAGGUGUAGCGGUGAAAUGCGUAGAGAUCUGGAGGAAUACCGGUGGCGAAGGCGGCCCCUGGACAAAGACUGACGCUCAGGUGCGAAAGCGUGGGGAGCAAACAGGAUUAGAUACCCUGGUAGUCCACGCCGUAAACGAUGUCGAUUUGGAGGUUGUGCCCUUGAGGCGUGGCUUCCGGAGCUAACGCGUUAAAUCGACCGCCUGGGGAGUACGGCCGCAAGGUUAAAACUCAAAUGAAUUGACGGGGGCCCGCACAAGCGGUGGAGCAUGUGGUUUAAUUCGAUGCAACGCGAAGAACCUUACCUGGUCUUGACAUCCACAGAACUUUCCAGAGAUGGAUUGGUGCCUUCGGGAACUGUGAGACAGGUGCUGCAUGGCUGUCGUCAGCUCGUGUUGUGAAAUGUUGGGUUAAGUCCCGCAACGAGCGCAACCCUUAUCCUUUGUUGCCAGCGGUUAGGCCGGGAACUCAAAGGAGACUGCCAGUGAUAAACUGGAGGAAGGUGGGGAUGACGUCAAGUCAUCAUGGCCCUUACGACCAGGGCUACACACGUGCUACAAUGGCGCAUACAAAGAGAAGCGACCUCGCGAGAGCAAGCGGACCUCAUAAAGUGCGUCGUAGUCCGGAUUGGAGUCUGCAACUCGACUCCAUGAAGUCGGAAUCGCUAGUAAUCGUAGAUCAGAAUGCUACGGUGAAUACGUUCCCGGGCCUUGUACACACCGCCCGUCACACCAUGGGAGUGGGUUGCAAAAGAAGUAGGUAGCUUAACCUUCGGGAGGGCGCUUACCACUUUGUGAUUCAUGACUGGGGUGAAGUCGUAACAAGGUAACCGUAGGGGAACCUGCGGUUGGAUCACCUCCUUA